rnacentral:sRNA from 1 species
CCCUGAUGGACAUUCUGGACACAGAUGGGGACAAGUGGUUCGAUGAACUGGAUUCUGGGCUCCAAGGUCAAAACGCUGAGUUUCAAAUUCUGGAUAAUGUAGACUCAAAGGGAGAGUUGAUAGUGACAUUACUCAAAGAAAUAACAAUUUCAGGCAGCUUCCAGGGCUUCCACCAUCAGAAUAUCAAGAUAUCUGAGAACCGGAUAUCCCAGCAGUAUCUGGCUACCCUUGAAAACAGGAAGCUGAAGAGGGAACUACCCUUUUCAUUCCGAUCAAUUAAUACGAGAGAAAACCUGUAUCUGGUGACAGAAACUCUGGAGACGGUAAAGGAGGAAACCCUGAAAAGCAACCGGCAAUAUAAAUUUUGGAGCCAGAUCUCUCAGGGCCGUCUCAGCUAUAAACACAAGGUUAGGAUCCUGGGAGGCAGGGACUGUGGAGGCCAGUGUUGGCCCAUGCCCCGCAGGUCAAGGCGAUGCCAGCCUUAGACUCUUCCUUCACUCUGAGCAGCCCUGCUGCUCUUGGCCACCUUGCCCCAAGAAAGGGUGGGUGGCAUUGCCCAGUCCUUCCCUUGUUACUCUCUAGCGAUGCCCUCUUUUCAUUUGCAUUUUCUUUCUUUCUUUUUUAAAUAGAGAUGAGGUCUUGCUGUGUUGUCCAGGCUGGUCUCAAACUCCUGGGCUCAAGCAAUCCACCCACCUCGGCCACCCAA